UUUGCCUCCGCAUGUGUUCAAUCCAUUUCUCAGUAUGUCAUCUCUGUGGACAAAGGCAGGGAGUCAGGCUUUAUACUCCAGAAUAGCCAGGAAAAGUGAACAGAGGGAGAAAGAAAGUCCGCAGGAGUCCUCUCUGGAUGAAGGGGUUCUUCACUGUGAAAUUACAGCCACAUGGAAACAGAAAGAAGUGUCAAGCAUACUCUGCAACUGCAUAAUCAGCAACCAGAAGUGAUGAACUCUUCGGACAAAAUCCACCUCUGUCUGACAAACUCACAUCUGUGACAUGGCUCAGUUGGUGAUAUUUGCGCAAAUGGUGUUUGAAGGCAGGAUUGCAGAAGAAAAUAUUUUCAUAACAUUAAUGCUGGAAGACCCAGAGGAUAAGAAGUUCAAGCAGUAUUUUGCUCAUAAGAACGGAGCAAGAGCGAGACCAGUUUCUGUGGCAGAUGAAGGGCUGCUGUUGGAUCUAAAAACUUUGUGGCUCAUAGAUAUCAGCCAGCACCCGGAGGAAAAGCAAGAGACAUGACACAUUAUGGUAAUGCUAAAUCUGUAGAUGCUUUCCAGUCACAGGCCUUCAGUGCAGUCUUUUUAAAGUCCUGCCUGUUGAAAAUUAUGUACCAUGAGAAGCUCUGACUUCGUGUGUUAUGAUGAGAUGACUGAGCAAAGCUACAGUUUUACUGAGGCAUAGAGAUUGGAGCUUCCAUGCUGACUAACUGGUGAAGGCUUAAGAACAGAUAAAACUGAGGUAAUGUUGGAAUGGGUUGGAAGAAGGAACUAGAAGAGUUAGGAAGGUUACAUCACUGCAUCAGACAGAAGAGUGUUUCCACCAUUUGUGAUUUCGGUUCAUAAUGUGGGAAAUGUAUUUGAUCAUUGGCCAAUCCUGGAUGUUAACAAAGGAGCUCUGGCCUGGAGUGCUUUUUGAAAUCAUCCGCACCUGAAAAGAAAAAUUGGGAUUCUUUUAUCAGAUAUGUCCCUUGCCACAGUUAGCCAUACAUUAGCCACUUUGAGACUAGGCUUCUACUAGUAUUAACUGAACAAUACUGAGAAUCCAGAAUCUUAAUUUAAUUCAGAAUGUGGCUGCUCAUUAAUUAAAGAGGGAUCUAUGUGAAGGGCUCUAAUAUGAACUGUCUGCUUAUUCAUUUCUUGGUAAAGUGUAAGAUAUUGGUUAUAAUUUAUAAAACAUUAAAGGAUUUAGGAUUUGUCUACUUGACAUUUGAAAGUUCCUCUCACUCCAUCUGACAGAGUCAUAACAAUUUGUCCCUUGUUAACAAUUCCCUAGUUAAAAAGGAAAAGAGAAGACGAGUGCUGCAAAGCACACAUAUUUAGAAUGGUUUAUGUUUUGGUAACUGUACAUUAGUUGCUAUAAGAAGGCUAUGGCAGUAUACGGGGGUAGGUUCAUCAAGCAAAAUAAAUAUGAAAAAUAUCUUGCUAAUUAAAUGACAGGUACAGCUAAGGAGUAUAUUGCAAGUAAAGCUGGGCAAAUUGUUUAUAUUAAUAAUAUUAACUAGCACUGCUUGGAAGAUGUGGGGUUUUUUUUGGUUUGUUUCUGCUCCUAAAAAAAGAUAAAACAUUCUCUGCCAAAA